CUGUUGAUGGGGGGUGUCGGAGUCCAGGGUAUGGCUGUGUGGAAGAGGGGCAGAGCAAGAAGAGAGUUCAGCAUCCUGACAGCCUGAUGGAUGAAGCUGUCCCUCAGUCUGUUGGUCCUGGCCUAGAGCCUCUGUAGUCUCCUUCCUGAUGGCAGCAGGCUGAAGAAGCUGUGUGAUGGGUGGGCAGGUCUCUCGCGAUGCAGAGGGCUUUACGAGUGAAGUGAGGUGGAGAUGGUUUGCAGGGAGGGGAGAGAGGCACCGACGAUCUUCUCAGAUGCUCUCACGAUGUGUUCCGGCAGGACGUGGAGCAGACACCGUACCACACGGUGAUGCUGCUGGUCAGAACGCUCUCGAUGGUGCCUCUGAAGAAGGCGCACAUGAUGGGGGAGGGGCUCUAGCUUUCCUCAGUUUGUGGAGGAAGAAGAUGCGCUGGUUGGCUUUGCUGGCCGGUCAUGUGGUCUUGAUGCACUUCAUAAGAAUGGAAGUGAGGACUACCGGACAGUAGUUGUUGAAACAGGAGGGCGACGACUUCUUCAGGACGGGGAUGAUGGUGGUGGUUUUGAGGCAUGUGGGGACGACAGCCUGGCUCAGCGAGAUGUUAAAGGUGUCCGUGAAGACAUCCGUGAGCUCCCCGGCACAGUCCCUCAGCACACGACCAGGACCUCUCUGUUUAGACCACCAUUGGGACGCUCCAGACUGGCCUGCCGGACAUAAGGCGACGUCGUUCCUCUGUUGGAAACUUUGUCCUCUGACACUCGACCAUCAUGGAUAACAGUAGGAGGAAGGUGGUUCCUGUGGUGCUCUGGGGGCCGGCUGUGGCCAUGGAGGUUGAUAGGGACUGGGGACGGAUGGCUUGAAUGACGUUUUUCUGCAGAGUCCCUAGAGUAAAUGAAGUGGUAACAGUUGUUACUGCAAAGAUCUGGGAGACACAGCAAGGCCUGGCCAAGUGCCUGUAGAUGGGAUCAGGUGGACCUGUGGUGCAUGGGAUUGGAACAUUACAGAAUGAUUGACACUCACCUGCAGCAGAGAAGAGCGUGGCGGGCCGUGCCAAGUCGCUGGGGUGAUGGAUGGCGCCAAACAGGCUGGGGCCGGGGGGUCGACUCAGGAACUCAGGCUUGAGUCCGAAGUCUAGCUUGUGAGGGUCGACCUGCAUCUGCUGCUGAAAGACGCCAAACCAAAACACAGAAACGCAUGUAAAAACUACGCAAGUAAGACGUCCCAGUGGAAGAUGCCUGAGUAGGACAGACUGAAUCUGAGGACGACUGGAGAGAAAAGGACUUGGGUGAUUUUAAUUUCACACCUGCAGGGAUUCAUUAAAAAUACUGCAUUAACUAACAGCAGUUAGCUGAAUGUGUGUCCAAGAACAUGUUAUGAGGUUUCACAGGAAUCUAAAAUGAAAACCUCCAGGGCUGAUGGAGCCGCACGAAGCUUUGCUUUCAUAAUGGCUUCAUCAUUAAAACCUUAAUAAGUGAUAAUGACUGACAGCAGAAGUGUCAAAGUUGCAUGUAAAUUAUAUUUCCAACUGCCUGUGGUGAAAAUCAAAUCUCUACCCUUUUAUUACUGUGUUCUUUCCUUUAACAUAUAUAAGAAGACACCAUCUAUGUCACAAGAAAUCCCUCAAUUUGCAGAUUUCUACUAACUUUUUAGAGCUGAAAAAGGAAGACGAUGUAUUUCUGAUGCUAGCAGUUAGCAACAUGUAUAUGUGCACUUAAUUUAAACUCAGAGUGAGAGUCUAUAGAGCUACUGUGCUCCAGUCUUUUUUGGACUGUUUUCUUUUUUUGUGUUUGUCUGCACCCAAAAGCAUCACUGGUAAACUUUAGAAUAAAUAUGUUCUGGCAGUCAGAUUAUAAAC